rnacentral:rRNA from 1 species
GAUGAACGCUGGCGGCGUGCCUAAUACAUGCAAGUCGAGCGAACAGACGAGGAGCUUGCUCCUUUGACGUUAGCGGCGGACGGGUGGGUAACACGUGGAUAACCUACCUAUAAGACUGGGCUAACUUCGGGAAACCGGAGCUAAUACCGGAUAACAUGUUGAACCGCAUGGUUCAACAGUGAAAGACGGUCUUGCUGUCACUUAUAGAUGGAUCCGCGCCGCAUUAGCUAGUUGGUAAGGUAACGGCUUACCAAGGCAACGAUGCGUAGCCGACCUGAGAGGGUGAUCGGCCACACUGGAACUGAGACACGGUCCAGACUCCUACGGGAGGCAGCAGUAGGGAAUCUUCCGCAAUGGGCGAAAGCCUGACGGAGCAACGCCGCGUGAGUGAAGAAGGUCUUCGGAUCGUAAAACUCUGUUAUUAGGGAAGAACAAAUGUGUAAGUAACUAUGCACGUCUUGACGGUACCUAAUCAGAAAGCCACGGCUAACUACGUG